rnacentral:rRNA from 1 species
CGUAGGCGGUCUCUUAAGUCAGAUGUGAAAGCCCGAGGCUUAACCUCGGAAGUGCAUUUGAAACUAAGGGACUUGAGUAUGGGAGAGGGAAGUGGAAUUCCUGGUGUAGCGGUGAAAUGCGUAGAUAUCAGGAGGAACACCGGUGGCGAAGGCGACUUCCUGGACCAAUACUGACGCUGAGGCGCGAAGGCGUGGGUAGCAAACA